CCUACGGGCGGCAGCAGUGAGGAAUAUUGGGCAAUGGGAGAGAUCCUGAACCAGCCAAGCCGCGUGAGUGAAGACGGCCCUAUGGGUGUUAAACCUCUUUUGUCGGGAAACAGAACCCGGGACGUGUCCCGGACUGCGUGUAUCCGACGAAAAAGCAUCGGCUAACUCCGUCCCAGCCGCCGGGGUAAUACGGGGGAUGCGAGCGUUAUCCGGAUUUAUUGGGUUAAGAGGGUGCGUAGGCGGUCCGUUAAGUCAGCGGUAAAAGUGCGGGGCGCAACCCCGUCGAGCCGUUGAAACUGGCAGACUUGAGUUGGCGAGAAGUACGCGGAAUGCGCGGUGUAGCGGUGAAAUGCAUAGAUAUCGCGCAGAACUCCGAUUGCGAAGGCAGCGUACCGGCGCCAGACUGACGCUGAGGCACGAAAGCGUGGGGAUCGAACAGGAUUAGAUACCCCUGUAGUC
rnacentral:rRNA from 1 species